rnacentral:rRNA from 1 species
ACGCUCGACACCUACUGGAGGCAGCAGUUGGGAAUAUUGCACAAUGGGGGAAACCCUGAUGCAGCGACGCCGCGUGAGCGAAGAAGUAUCUCGGUAUGUAAAGCUCUAUCAGCAGGGAAGAAGAUGACGGUACCUGACUAAGAAGCACCGGCUAAAUACGUGCCAGCAGCCGCGGUAAUCUGAGCGGGCUGGCAAGGC